rnacentral:rRNA from 1 species
UACAGGGGGGGCAAGCGUUGUUCGGAAUCACUGGGCGUAAAGGGUGCGUAGGCGGGUUCUUAAGUCAGAGGUGAAAUCCUGGAGCUCAACUCCAGAACUGCCUUUGAUACUGAGAGUCUUGAGUACGGGAGAGGUGAGUGGAACUGCGAGUGUAGAGGUGAAAUUCGUAGAUAUUCGCAAGAACACCAGUGGCGAAGGCGGCUCACUGGCCCGUUACUGACGCUGAGGCACGAAAGCGUGGGGAGCAAACAGG